CUCGAACGGCGGACGACGUCUCUUAGAAAUAGGAGAGUUUCCUUCGGGAACGGCCGUCGAGGUGCUGCAUGGCUGUCGUCAGCUCGUGUCGUGAGAUGUUGGGUUAAGUCCCGCAACGAGCGCAACCCUUGUCCUGUGUUGCUAAUCUUCGGAUGCACUCUCAGGAGACCGCCAGCGACAAGCUGGAGGAAGGUGGGGAUGAUGUCAAGUCAGCAUGGCCUUUAUGUCCAGGGCUACACACGUGCUACAAUGGGCAGGACAGACCGUUGCAAACCCGCGAGGGGAGCUAAUCGGAGAAACCUGUUCUCAGUUCGGAUUGCAGGCUGCAACUCGCCUGCAUGAAGCUGGAAUCGCUAGUAAUGGCAGAUCAGCAUGCUGCCGUGAAUACGUUCCCGGGCCUUGUACACACCGCCCGUCACAU
rnacentral:rRNA from 1 species